AACGAACGCUGGCGGCAGGCUUAACACAUGCAAGUCGAGCGCCCCGCAAGGGGAGCGGCAGACGGGUGAGUAACGCGUGGGAACGUGCCCUUUGCUACGGAAUAGCUCCGGGAAACUGGAAUUAAUACCGUAUGAGCCCUACGGGGGAAAGAUUUAUCGGCAAAGGAUCGGCCCGCGUUGGAUUAGCUAGUUGGUGGGGUAAAGGCCUACCAAGGCGACGAUCCAUAGCUGGUCUGAGAGGAUCAUCAGCCACAUUGGGACUGAGACACGGCCAAAACUCCUACGGGGGGCAGCAGUGGGGAAUAUUGGACAAUGGGCGCAAGCCUGAUCCAGCCAUGCCGCGUGAGUUAUGAAGGUCUUAAGGUUGUAAAGCUCUUUCACCGGAGAAGAUAAUGACGGUAUCCGGAGAAGAAGCCCCGGCUAACUUCGUGCCAGCAGCCGCGGUAAAAC
rnacentral:rRNA from 1 species